rfam:Dorea sp. 42_8 Ley3_66761_scaffold_4150, whole genome shotgun sequence.
UUUAUGGCGAUGAAAGGAAUUAGUACAUGAGAAUCCAGCUGCAGAGAGGAUAUCAUAUGGUGUGAGAUAUCUGCUGUUCAUCACAUGGAACCGGUCCUGGAGCCACUGUAUGAAAGUGCAGCGUGUCAGCCGGCGUUAACGGCCAAUGAAGAGAGCUGCGAAAGGGUCGCAGUUAACUAGGGUGGUACCGCCGAGCUUUUCGGUCCCUUUU